rnacentral:rRNA from 1 species
GAUGAACGCUGGCGGCGUGCCUAAUACAUGCAAGUCGAGCGAACAGACGAGGAGCUUGCUCCUCUGACGUUAGCGGCGGACGGGUGAGUAACACGUGGAUAACCUACCUAUAAGACUGGGAUAACUUCGGGAAACCGGAGCUAAUACCGGAUAACAUGUUGAACCGCAUGGUUCAACAGUGAAAGACGGUCUUGCUGUCACUUAUAGAUGGAUCCGCGCCGCAUUAGCUAGUUGGUAAGGUAACGGCUUACCAAGGCAACGAUGCGAAGCCGACCUGAGGGGGUGAUCGGCCACACUGGAACUGAGACACGGUCCAGACUCCUACGGGAGGCAGCAGUAGGGAAUCUUCCGCAAUGGGCGAAAGCCUGACGGAGCAACGCCGCGUGAGUGAAGAAGGUCUUCGGAUCGUAAAACUCUGUUAUUAGGGAAGAACAAAUGUGUAAGUAACUAUGCACGUCUUGACGGUACCUAAUCAGAAAGCCACGGCUAACUACGUG